rnacentral:rRNA from 1 species
CAGCAGCCGCGGGAAUACGAAGGGGGCUAGCGUUGCUCGGAAUCACUGGGCGUAAAGGGUGCGUAGGCGGGUCUUUAAGUCAGGGGUGAAAUCCUGGAGCUCAACUCCAGAACCGCCUUUGAUACUGAAGAUCUUGAGUUCGGGAGAGGUGAGUGGAACUGCGAGUGUAGAGGUGAAAUUCGUAGAUAUUCGCAAGAACACCAGUGGCGAAGGCGGCACACUGGCCCGAUACUGACGCUGAGGCACGAAAGCGUGGGGAGCAAACAGGAUUAGAUACCCCAGUAGUCCCUGUCUCUUAUAU